rnacentral:lncRNA from 1 species
UUCGGUCUCAGCGUCUUGUUGUAUUUCUCGCUGGUUUUCCUGAAAAGAGUUGGUUGUCAAAUCUUCAUCUGAUGCCACAGAGUUGGUAAUAUUUGCAACAUAUUUUUUGCUUACCAAUAUAUGUUCUUCCGACACUUCAUCUGAACCAUUUGUAGAGGGUAUCUUUACUGCAUCUGAACUCGAGGCAUUUUCCUGUUUGGCAGAAAUUUGUAAAUAAGUUUCACGAAGAGAUGCAAACUCAAGUUCAAAUAGCUUGAAAGUUUCUUGGCAUCAAGUUAUUACCUCAUGAGCUGCUAUGUCAACUGCAUUUGUCAUAUGAAGAUCCCUGAGGUAAAUUUCUUCUUCAUUUAACUCUGUAAUUUCUGCUUUGGUCUCAACAGCAUCAAUCUCUUUGGGUACCUGUAGAUUCCAUGAAAGGUGAAUCUGUGAUAGCAAUGUUUUGUUGUUUCCCCCUUAUUUUUAGGUCUACUAGGUUGUCAAUGCUGAAACGUCACAUAGCUACAACUAUCUGUUAGUUCAUAUUCAAACAAAUUUACAUCUCUAGUUGUACUUGUAAAUUUAAGUCUAUUAAAAAAAUUAUCCUCUUAAAUGUAUGUACCUUUUUCAUCCUUCAGUCAUGUAGUAUUUAUUUUCAUGCUUAACAGUGGUUUUCCUACCUAGUUGACAAUAAAGUUAAGAGUAUGAUUCUCACCUUAUCCUUAGAAGUUUCUUCACUCAGAUCAGUUGGAUCAGUUGUUUCGUCCUCUUUUUCCUCGGCCAUGUUUCCUGUAGGAUCUGCGAUUAGGCUUUGCUCCUCUAGAGAACUAAUUUCUCUAUCUUCACAUGAAGCAGGUGCUUUAAUAUCCCCGUCUGCAAAUUGCAUAGACUCGGUUUCUUCUUUUAUCAGUGUACCUUCUGCAGUUUUCUCAUUUUCAAACAAGUUUGCUUUUAUUAAGUUUUCAUCCACAAAUUUGGCCUGAUGCAUAAUUAUGGAGUCAUGAUCUUCGGCAUUUCCCAGAGGAGCUUCUUCCAAAGAAGGGUUUUGUGAGCUUUCUGCUUCGGUUGGUGAGUUAUCUUCAUCAUCUCCAUUUGGGACAUUUGUUGUAAUAUCCUAAAAUGACAGUAAAAGCUUGUUUUCAGGUUAAAGAAGAAAAAUUUAUUCUUCAUUUUGUGAUGUACUAAAUAAGCUAACAGUUAUAGAGAGAGAAUGAUUUUUACCUGAGCCUCAAGACAAUCCUCCUUUGCAUCAGUUACAUCAGUAGUUUGUUCAUUAAUUUCGUCACCCAAGGUUUCUUGUGCUUCUGCAGUUGGAGUUUCCACAUCGAUAGAACUUGGUGAGUUAUCUUCAUUCUGUUCCCUUUGAACAUCUGUGUCAACAUCCCGUACCUCAAGAGUUUGCCCCUCUGUGUAAGUUGCAUCAAAGGUUUUCUCCUCUGUCUUAUCACAUGAGAUUUCUUGUAGAUCCGCAGUUUGAAUUUGCUCAUCUAUAUCGUCCUUCAAAGUACUUUCUGUGGUCUCUCCUGUUUGAGAUGUGAUUUCAGUUUCCUUUUCCAGAUAUUCUUUUUGACAGUCCACUUGGAUCAGUGAGUUCUUUUCAGUCUCAUCGUGUAGAGUAGUUGUUGCAACAUUCUGCAGCAAGAAUAAAGCACUCGUUAAAUUUGUUUAGUUUACAGUAAUAAGAUUGGUAAUAUUCAUUUUUACAUGAUAUUUCAAUAUAUUGUUUAGCAUUGCAAUCAUUUACCAUAAGUAAUUUAUACAAUUCUUACCUUAUCCUCAGGAGUUUCAGUUGCAUCAACUACUUUGUCCUCUUUCUGGUCAUCAAUGAUUCCUGAAGGACUUGUAGUUGGGCCUUGCUCCUCUAGAGAACAUAUUUCUCUAUCUUGACCCGAAGCUGAUGCUUUAAUAUCUUCAUCUGAUACCUCCAAAGAUCUAAUGGAAACUUCCUCCUUUGCCAAACCACCUUCUGUGCUUUCCUCAUUUUCAAACAAUUCGGCUUUUAUUAAGUUCUGAUCUGCUAAUUCGGGCUCAUGUAUAGUUGACUCCUCAUCAUUAUCGUUCCCCAUAAAAACGACUGCAGGUGCUUUAAUAUCCUUAUUAACUACUUCGAAUGAGUCAGCAGCCUUCUCCAUCACUGCGUCGUCUUUCAAAGUUGUUUCCUUGGUCUCUCCUGUUUGAGAUGUGUCUUCACUUUCCUUUUCCAGAUCUUCCUUUUGACAGUCCACUUGGAUCGGUGAGUUCUCUUCAGUCUCCUCAUGUAGAGUAAUAGUUGUUGCAACAUUCUGCACCAAGAAUAAAACACUCGUUAAAUUGAUUAACUUACAUAAGUAUUUUUGGUAAUAAUUUAUUUUUUGCAUGAUAUUUCAAUUUAUUCUAACAAAGUAAUUUAUGUAAUUCUUACCUUAUCCUCAGGGCUCUCAGUUGCAUCAAUUGUUUUGUCUUCUUUUUGGUCAUCAAUGAUUCCUGAAGGACUUGUAGUUAGGCCUUUCUCCUCUAUAGAACUUGUUUUUGUUUCUUGGCCAGAAGUUGAUGCUUUAAUAUCUUCAUCUGAUACCUCCAGUGAUCUAAUGGACACUUCCUGCUGUGCCAAAUAAACUUCUGUGCUUUUUGCAUUUUCAAACAAUUCGGCUUCUAUUAAGCUCUGAUCGGUUACUUUGGACUCAUGUAUAACUGUUGACUCCUCAUAAUUGUCGUUCCCCGUAGAAACGAAAGCAGAUGCUUUAGUAUCCUCCUUAACUACUUCGAAUGAGUCAACAACCUUCUCCACCAAUGCAUCGUCCUUUAAAGUACUUUCUGAGAUCUCUACUGUUUGAGAUGUGUCUUCACUUUCCUUUUCCAGAUCUUCCUUUUGAUAGUCCACUUGGAUCGGUGAGUUCUCUUCACUCUCCUCAUGUAGAGUAGUUGUUGCAGCAUUCUGCACCAGGAAUAAACACUCGUUAAAUUUGUUUUAUUUAAAGAAAUAAGAUUGGUAAUAUAUAUCCUAAGUAAUUUAUACAAUUCUUACCUUAUCCUCAGGAGUUUCAGUUGCAUCAAUUGUUUUGUCCUCUUUUUGGUCAGCAAUUAUUCCUGAAGGACUUGUAGUUAGGCCUUGCUCCUCUAUAGAACAUGUUUCUCGAUCUUGGCCAGAAGCUGUUGCUUUAAUAUCUUCGUCCGAUACCUCCAAGGAUCUAAUGGACACUUCAUCCUUUGUCAAAUUACCUUCUGCGCUUUCCUCAUUUUCAAGCAAUUCAGCUUUUAUUAAGUUCUGUUCUGCUAGUUUGGACUCAUUAGUGUCCUCAUUAACUACUUCAAAUGAGUCAACAGCCUUCUCCACCACUGCAUCGUCCUUCAAAGUACUUUCUGUGGUUUCCCCUGUUGGAGGUGUGGUUUCACUUUCCUUUUCCGAAUGUUCUUUUUGACAGUCCGCUUGGAUCGGUGAGUUUUUUUCAGUUUCCUCAUGAAGAGUAGUUGCAACAUUCUGCACCAAGAAUAAAAUACUCUUUAAAUUUGUUUAAUUUACAUAAAUAAGAUCGGUAAUAAUUUUAUUCUUCAGCAUUGUGACAUUAAUUUUACGACGAGCAAAUAAUUUGUACAAUUCUUGCCUUAUCCUCGGGAGUUUCAGUUGCAUCAAUUGUGUUGUCCUCUUCUAUAGAACUUAUGUCUCCAUCUUUGCCAGAAGCUGAUGCUUUAAUAUCUUCAUCUGAUACCUCCAAGGAUCUAAUGCACACUUCCUCCUGUGCCAAAUUACUUUCUGUGUUUUUCUCAUUUUCAAACAAUUCGGCUUUUAUUAAGCCCUGAUCGGCUACUUCGGACUCAUGUAUAAUUGUUGACUCCUCACAAUUGUCGUUAGUAUCCUCAUUAACUACUUCGAUUGAGCCAGCAGCCUUCUCCACCUCUGCAUCGCCCUUCAAGGUACUUUCUGUGGUCUCUCCUAUUUGAGAUGUGUUUUCACUUUUUUUUUCCAGAUCUUCUUUUUGACAGUCCACUUGGAUCAGUGAGUUCUCCUCAGUCUCCUCAUGUAGAGUAGUUGUUGCAACAUUCUGCAGCAAGAAUAAAACACUCAUUAAAUUUGUUUAAUUUACAGAAAUAAGAUUGGUAAUAUUAAUUUCUUACAUGAUAUUUCAAUUUAUUCUUCAGCAUUGUGACAUUAUUUUGACGGUUAGAAAGUAAUUUAUACAAUUCUUACCUUAUCCUCAGGAGUUUCAGUUGCAUCAAUUGUUUUGUCCUCUUUUUGGUCAUCAAUUAUUACUGAAGUACUUGUAGUUAGGCCUUGCUCCUCUAUUGAACUUGUUUCUCUAUCUUGCUCAGAAGCUGAUGCUCUAGUAUCUUCGUCUGAUACCUCCAAGGAUCUAGUGGACAAUUCCUCCUUUGCCAAAUUACCCUCCGUGCUUUCCUCAUUUUCAAUCAAUUCGGCUUUUAUUAAGUUCUGAUCUGCUAAUUUGGCCUCAUGUAUAAUUGCUGAUGGCCUUUCUGAGCAGUCUUCUUCAAUUGGUGAACUGUCUUCAUUUGUUGCAGUAUCCUGUACAAAAGAAAAAAAAAAAGAAAUCUUGUGAACUUUUUUGGUCUAAAGUAGAAAUAUUAUUCUUUAUUCUGUUUUCUAUUGUUCAUGCAGAACCUAUCCAUUACGAGUCUGAUUGAUAGAAUGAUUUUUCACCUGUGCAUCAAUAGUAUUCCCUUUGGUGUAAGCUGCAUCAUCCGAUUUUUCCUCUGUUUUGUCACAUGAGAUUUCUUGUGUAUCUUCAGUUAGGAUUUGCUCCUCAGUGGAACCUGUUUCUGUGCUUUGACCUGAACCAGAUUCUCCAAUUUCCUCUGUACUUUCUAUGGUGUCCAUUAUUGGAGCUUCUGCCAAGGAUGUGCUGUCACUAUCCUUUUCCAAAUGUUCAACCUGUUCCAAGUUGUAAGCAAUCUACUUUAAUUAGUGAGUUCACUUCAGUCUGGUCAAAAUUAGUUGCAAAUUUUCAGCAACAAGAUAACAAUUCAUCGUUCAAAAAUAUAAAAUCAAUUUACUAAUAUGAUUCUUGCCAUCUCCUCAUGACUUUCUUCCUUUGUUUUAUACUCUUUAAAUGCAAUUUCUCUGUCUUGUUCUACGGCAGAGUUUUUAAUAUCAUUAGCUGCUACUUGCAAAGACUCGAUAGAUACUUCUUCCUUAACCAAGGUAACUUCAGCGUUUUUCUCACUUUCGAACGAUUCAGCUUUUAUCAAGCUUUCGUCCACAAAAUUUGCCUCACGCGUAAUUGCUGCCUCGUCGUCAUUGGCUUGUCCCGAUGAAGUUUCAUUCGAAGAUGGAUAUUGUGAGCAGUCUUCUUCGAUUGAUGAUUUAUCUACACUAUCUGCAUCUGGAAUACUUGCUUCAAUACCCUGUAGCAAGAAUUAGAAUCUUAUAAAUUCGAUUCAAAACAAUAAAUACCGUUUUUCAUUUCUUUUUCUGUUCAGAACCAGUCAUGUAUUAUUCACCUGUACAUGAAGAAUUUCCUCUUUCCUCUCAACUGUAUCAAUAGUUUCUUCCUCUGGUUUGUCACUUGAGAUUUCUUGUGGAUUUGUAGUUUUUUCACCAAAAUCAGAUUCCAUAAUAUCCUUGGUUUUUUCUGUCACCAAAGUAAUUGCUGAAUUGUUUUCUUUUUCCGACAAUUCGGCUUCUACUAGAUCUUUGUCUUCUUUGGGUUCACUCAAAUUUUUGGACUCCGUUUCAUUGGUUUCCUCUGUCAAAGAUGACUUUUCACUUUCCUUUCCCAAAUGCGCCUCGCUUUCCACAUGUGGAAUUUCUGUUGCAACAUUCUGCAGAAAGAAUGAAACAAUUAACCGUGUUGAGCAUAAAGGGAAAUGCUUGCUAUUUGUUAACUGGAAUUUAAAAAAAAAUGAUGCUUACCUGCACCUCAAGGCACACUGCCUUCGUGUCAGUUGGAUCAAUUGUUCUUUCACUCGUGAUUGCAUGAGGAAUUGCAGUUAAACUUUGAUCCUCAAGAGUAUGAUUUAUUUCUAUGUCGUCACUUGAAGCAGGUGCUUCGUGAUCCUCCUUCAGCAAAGUACUCUCUGUGCUUUCCUCAGGAGCUUCCUUGGUUGAAGCUUCUUCUAAAGAUGGUGUUACUAUUUCCUUCUCCAGUUCCCUAUCGUUGUCCUGAGUCGAGACAUUUAUUUCAACACUCUGCUGCAAAAAUUAAACAUUAAAUUAUCUACUGAAUUUGCGGGAAAGAAAAAAAUCAUUUUUUUUUAAUUAAUUAAUUUAUUUUUAAUGUGCUCAUUAUUUAAGGAUGUACCGAAUUGAGUGACAAUUUUUUUUUCUGAUUUGGGUUAAGAUUUUUCACCUGCAGCUCUUGAGUUUUCUCGUUGAAGUCUGCUCCAUCAUUUUUCUCCUCGUGGAACAGUUCUGCUCUGCUUGGAUAUUCAACCUCAACUUUGAC